rfam:Lactobacillus selangorensis strain DSM 13344 Scaffold1, whole genome shotgun sequence.
AAAUAAAAGUAGAAGUUCCCGCUUCUCGCCUGAGGCAUAAAUAAGUGCCUGGGCUCAUGCAAGACUCUCUGUGGGAGAGUCGAAUGAAGUGUUGAAAGAGCGGGUUCAGUCUGACUGAAGCCGUUCUUUUUCUGCGUU